AUACGGAGGGUACGAACGUUAAUCGGAAUUACUGGGCGUAAAGCGCGCGUAGGUGGUUCGGUAAGUGGGAUGUGAAAGCCCCGGGCUCAACCCGGGAACUGCAUUCCAAACUGCCGGGCUAGAGUAUGGUAGAGGGAGGUAGAAUUUCCUGUGUAGCGGUGAAAUGCGUAGAUAUAGGAAGGAAUACCGGUGGCGAAGGCGGCCUCCUGGACCAAUACUGACACUGAGGUGCGAAAGCGUGGGGAGCAAACAGGAUUAGAAACCCCAGUAGUCC
rnacentral:rRNA from 1 species